GCCGAAUCCGCCGCGGCCUACAGCCCGGCCGGAACUGUGGCGUGCGGGACGUGGCCAGUCGAUCGGGAGCGUACCCGAGUCCCCCCGAGCGGGGCCCAUCCCAUAGCGGGUGCCAGGCCUCUGCAGGUACGCAUCCGACCGGCCGCUACCGUCCCCGGAGUCGGGUCGCUUGGGAAUGCAGCCCGAAGCGGGUGGUAAACUCCACCUAAGGCUAAAUACCGGCGCGAGUCCGAUAGCGGACAAGUACCGCGAGGGAAAGUUGAAAAGAA
rnacentral:rRNA from 1 species